rnacentral:rRNA from 1 species
UACAGAGACUGCAAGCGUUGUUCGGAUUCAUUGGGCGUAAAGGGUGCGUAGGCGGUGAGGUAAGUUGGAUGUGAAAUCCCAAAGCUUAACUUUGGAAGUGCAUCCAAAACUCCCUCGCUCGAGGACUGGAAGGGAGACUGGAAUUCUCGGUGUAGCGGUGAAAUGCGUAGAUAUCGAGAGGAACACCGGUGGCGAAGGCGGGUCUCUGGACAGUUCCUGACGCUGAGGCACGAAAGCCAGGGUAGCAAACGGG